GGCAGAGGGUCCCUCUGGAUUCUGGGGCAGACACAGAUGCCUGCCCUGCCUCUUCCUCCAUGGGUACUGCGGUUCUUUAGGGCUGGGUAGAAAUGUCUACUCUGGGCAAAGACUUUUUCUUGCACCCUGGAAUAACCUGGUGAUGUGGAUCCAUCCUGUGGUUGAGGACAGAGGCCUCCUCACCUUCCAGCUUUACUUCAGUGCGUCCUCCCAGCUCCAGUGGCACCUGUGCUCCUGGUGCCUUUGCACCCCACCCUCACCCCCCGGACCCCAGUAGCCAGGACCAGCAGCAUCAGAAGACCUGUUGGAAAUGCAGAUUCUCUGCCAGCCCCAGACCCUCAGAAUCAGAAGCUGCAGAUGUCAGGAACGAGGUCUCCAACCAAAGGCCCAGUUGUUCCAGGGAUAUGUAUGGCCUGAAGUUCACGGAGUGGAGUGAGGAAAGAUCCAGAAAUUCAGCUCAGGAGAGAGGGCAGGAGAAGGCUGACUUAGGAGAAUAAAGCGUAGACUAA